UGAACUCAAAGUUUUUUGAAG
rnacentral:piRNA from 1 species